GGGCGUGUAGCUCAGCUGGAAGAGCGUCUUGCUUAUACCAAGAUGGCCGUAGGUUCGAGUCCUACCACGCCCA
rnacentral:tRNA from 1 species